AACGAACGCUGGCGGCGUGGAUAAGACAUGCAAGUCGAACGGGAACUUCAGCUGUAGCAAUACAGUUGAAGUUUUAGUGGCGAACGGGUGCGUAACACGUGGGCAAUCUGCCGAGAAGUGGGGGAUAGCUCGCCGAAAGGCGAAUUAAUACCGCAUAUGAUCAGCUAAGACAUCUUAGCGACAUCAAAGCCGGGGCAACCUGGCGCUUUUUGAGGAGCCCGCGGCCUAUCAGCUAGUUGGUGAGGUAACGGCUCACCAAGGCUAUGACGGGUAGCUGGUCUGAGAGGACGACCAGUCACACUGGAACUGAGACACGGUCCAGACACCUACGGGUGGCAGCAGUCGAGAAUUUUUCNCAAUGGGGCAACCCUGAAGGAGCGACGCCGCGUGGAGGAUGAAGGCUUUCGGGUUGUAACUCCUGUCAUUUGAGAACAAGGUGCAUCGGUUAACUGCCGGUGCAUUGAUAGUAUCAGAAGAGGAAGAGAC
rnacentral:rRNA from 1 species